rnacentral:rRNA from 1 species
GGUACUGUCAUUAUCAUCCCGGGUAAAGGCGCACCAAGCCGACGAUCCUUAGCUGGUCUGAGAGGAUGAUCAGCCACACUGGGACUGAGACACGCCCAGACUCCUACGGGAGGCAGCAGUGGGGAAUAUUGGACAAUGGGCGAAAGCCUGAUCCAGCAAUGCCGCGUGAGUGAUGAAAGCCUUAGGGUUGUAAAGCUCUUUUACCCGGGAUGAUAAUGACAGUACC